rnacentral:rRNA from 1 species
GGGUACCCGGGUUGAGAGACCGACCCCCCAGUUUUGGACUGAGACACGGUCCAGACUCUUACGGGAGACAGCAGUGCGGAAUCUUGCGCAAUGGGGGGAACCCUGACGCAGCGACGCCGCGUGCGGGACGGAGGCCUUCGGGUCGUAAACCGCUUUCAGCAGGGAAGAGUCAAGACUGUACCUGCAGAAGAAGCCCCGGCUAACUACGUGCCAGCAGCCGCGGUAAUACGUAGGGGGCGAGCGUUAUCCGGAUUCAUUGGGCGUAAAGCGCGCGUAGGCGGCCCGGCAGGCCGGGGGUCGAAGCGGGGGGCUCAACCCCCCGAAGCCCCCGGAACCUCCGCGGCUUGGGUCCGGUAGGGGAGGGUGGAACACCCGGUGUAGCGGUGGAAUGCGCAGAUAUCGGGUGGAACACCGGUGGCGAAGGCGGCCCUCUGGGCCGAGACCGACGCUGAGGCGCGAAAGCUGGGGGAGCGAACAGGAUUAGAUACCCUGGUAGUCCCAGCCGUAAACGAUGGACGCUAGGUGUGGGGGGGACGAUCCCCCCGUGCCGCAGCCAACGCAUUAAGCGUCCCGCCUGGGGAGUACGGCCGCAAGGCUAAAACUCAAAGGAAUUGACGGGGGCCCGCACAAGCAGCGGAGCAUGUGGCUUAAUUCGAAGCAACGCGAAGAACCUUACCAGGGCUUGACAUAUGGGUGAAGCGGGGGAGACCCCGUGGCCGAGAGGAGCCCAUACAGGUGGUGCAUGGCUGUCGUCAGCUCGUGUCGUGAGAUGUUGGGUUAAGUCCCGCAACGAGCGCAACCCCCGCCGCGUGUUGCCAUCGGGUGAUGCCGGGAACCCACGCGGGACCGCCGCCGUCAAGGCGGAGGAGGGCGGGGACGACGUCAAGUCAUCAUGCCCCUUAUGCCCUGGGCUGCACACGUGCUACAAUGGCCGGUACAGAGGGAUGCCACCCCGCGAGGGGGAGCGGAUCCCGGAAAGCCGGCCCCAGUUCGGAUUGGGGGCUGCAACCAACCCCCAUGAAGUCGGAGUUGCUAGUAAUCGCGGAUCAGCAUGCCGCGGUGAAUGCGUUCCCGGGCCCUCUAAAAGCCGCCCGUCA